UUAUUAAGUAGGAGGAAGAAGAAGUAGAGCAUCCCCAUUUUGUAGAUGAGGGAACUGAGGCACAGAGAAGUUAACUGACUUGCCCAAGGUCAGGCAACAGGGAAGCUGCAUGGUGUAAUGGAGAGAGCACGGGCCUGGGAGUCAGAAGGUCACGGGUUCUAAACCAGGCUCUGCCACUUGUCCUCUGUGUGGUCUUAGGCAAGUCACUUCACUUCUCUGUGCCUCAUUUACCUCAUCUGUAAAUGGGGAUUAAGACUGUGAGCCCUAAGUGGGACAGGGACUGUGUUCGACCCAAUUUGCUUGUCUCCACCUUAGUGCUUAGUACAAUGCCUGGGACAUAGUAAGCCCUUAACAAAUAUCAUAAUUAUUAUUAUUAGGUAAGUGGCAGAGCCAGGAUCAGAACCUAACUCCUCUGACUCCUAGGCCCAGGCUCUUUCCACACAGCCACACCGCUUCCUGGGAGGAGUAAAGAGUGUGGACUGGGAAGUGGAAAGGAAAGAGGUGGAGAAAGCUGGUGGGAAGCCUUGAAGCCAAAGGUCAGAAGUUCCUGCUCCAUGUGGAGGGAGAUGAGCAGCCGCUGGAAGUUUUGGGAGAGAGGAAGAUGUGUGCAUUUCCAGAAGGUGAGCUGAGCAACAGUGUGGAGGGAGGCUUGGAACCUGAUGGUGGCUGGGUGGAGUGCUUUCAUUUCCUCUUAUGCCUCUUAUUUUUUUCAGCCCGCCAGUCACAUAAAGCAACUACCAGACUUUUACUUUCAAUUCCUGCUUGGGCAACCGAAACAGAGAAGCUGAGAGAGACUCUCUGCUCCCUGACCUCCGGGUUUCCCAGACGGCAACUGGGCCAGAGGGCAGAAAAUUGAGGAACCCAGGUACUCUGCCUCUGAGCCUGCCUUUCCUACUCCUCCAGAGAAGGUCAUCUUCUUCCUUCCCUUCUCUUAGCAUCUCCCAUCUCACUUUUCUUGCAGGAACUCUUCCACCUAAUGAAGCGUGAGAGGUUUGGGUCCUCCUCCUCUGUUGAGAUGGCCAAUUGUCUCUACAACUGGAAGCUGGAGAAGUACAAGAGCGAGGAAUUUGAGGAGUUUUUGAAGAAGCAGAACGAGGCCACCGAGUCCCUGCUCUCUCCCCUCCGUGCCGAUCCAAACGCCAUGCAGGCCCGUCUAGCUGAAAAGCGGGACAGCAUCUUGGACUCCUUCUCCGAGGCCUACAGAGGCCGAGACCACAGCCAGGCCAUGGAGGCCUUAAAGGAGGCACUUCAGGACAAGGAGAAGGAGUUCUUGGAGAUCUAUUUCAAACGUUCCCAAAACCAAAAGAUUGCCGCUGGCGUGGUCGCAACUGGGGUGUUGACCGUGACAGGAGUGGGGUUGGGGGUUGCCGCGGCAGCAGCCUUAGUGGCAGCAGAGACUAUUCCACUGCUGACCUGGGGGGCUAUAGGGGAUGGGCUGGGGAUCGGAGUAGGGGCUGGGCUGAGUGCUGGGUUGGGGCUGGGCUGGGUGCUGGGCUGGAUGCUGGGCUGGAUGCUGGGCUGGGGUUUGGGGAGUGCCACGGGAAUGUGAGGGAGGAGCCGGAGAGUGAGGAGGACGAGGAGCCUCUUCUCCAGGAUGAAAGGCGAACGCUGGAAAUCAGCCCCCAGAGGGUGCGCGGAGGCCAAAGGCCAGAACGGCCCAGAGGGAGCCAACGCCUAUGUGCAUGUAAACCUCGACACGUGGCUGACCGCUUUUUGCAUUUCAGAUGAAAUCUGCGCUGGCUAGACCCUAGAUUUGAUUCGCAUCGGGCCGAAUUGUCUUUUUUAGGAGGGAGCUUUCUUUUCUCCUCCACCCCAUUCACCCCUCCCUGAUGGUAGUAAUAACAAUCAAUCAUAUCUAUUGAGUGCCUACUGUGUGCAGAGCACUGUACAGAGUGCUUGAGUGGAAGUACAAUAUAACAGACACAUUCCCUUCCCACAACAAGAUUGCAGUCAACAACAACUGUAAUGAAGAUGAUAAUGAUGAUGAUGAAGACGAUAACCCUUACUAAGCACUUACGGGACUCAUUCAUUCAACAGUAUUUAGUGAGCGCUUACUGUGUGUAGAGCACUGUACUAAGCACUUGGGAAAGUAGAAUGCAACAUUAAGCAAUAAAUGCUAAACAUUGCUACAGAAAAGCACAUAAUAAUGGCAGUUGUUAAGUAAUAAUGUUAGUAUUUGUUAAGCGCUUACUAUGUGCAGAGCACUGUUCUAAGCGCUGGGGUAGAUAGAGGGUGAUCAGGUUGUCCCACGUGGGGCUCACAGUUUUAAUCCCCAUUUUACAGAUGAGGUAACUGAGGCACAGAUAAGUGAAGUGACUUGCCCACAGUCACACAGCUGGCAAGUGGCAGAUCCGGGAUUCGAACCCAUGACCUCUGACUCCCAAGCCCGGGCUCUUGCCACUGAUCCAUGCUGACUAUGUGCUUAGCACUGCUUGGGGGGAUAUGAUAUAAUCAGGUCAGGCAAUGUUGUUGUCCCAAACAGGAGUUACAGGCUAAGUAGGAGGAGGACAGAUGAGGAAACUGAGGCACAGAGAAGUUAAGUGACUUGCCCAGGGAACCCCCGGAGACACGUGGCGGAGCUGGGAUUAGAACUCAGGUCCUCUAACUUUCAUGCGCUUUCCACUGGCUACGCUGCUCCCAGAUAGGGUUUGGAUGAGCUGUUAAAAGGGGGACGGUUAGCUUUGAUAGUAGAUGUUAGAUGUGUUUUUAAUGUAAGAAUACAUGUCACGCAUACUUGGAAAUUUUUAAUAUUUUAAUUUUAUUAUGAUAUAACGUACUGCAAUAAUAAAAUACCAUUAUUAUAUGCCUUUUUCACCUUUAAACGACAGUACAUACACAUGAUCUUGAAUGGGUAUGGAUAACAUACCACAUCUAUUGUCCUGAAACUGUCAGGAUAUUGAAGGCAGACUUUUUCUUGAACAGCUGAGAAACUGCUGACAAAGGAGCCUAAAAUUUCACUUGGAAUUAUUAAUCAGGUGAGCUAUUCGUAUGCCUUUUUUUCUUAAAAAAAACCUCCAAACUCUUUUUUUUAUAUUUCUCCCAAUUUUUUUUUCAUUUAUUCUGUGCUCAUUACUGUAAUCUAUUUCCUCAUGCUGUUGUUUUGGAAGGGUUUUAUAAAUGCCCCUGUCUGGGCAAUUAGUCAAAAAUUUUUCCAUCAAAUUCAAACUAAAAACUGUUCCACAAAUUCAGUCUUCCACCAGUAGCAGUUACUAUUAAAGUUUUUCAGAAUUCCUCUCCCCACCCCCAUGCUUUAACAUAGUGGACAAAACCAGACAAAACCCUUGUUCAGGUUUGACAAACUGGCCAUGAGUCCCAGUGGUUAGCUCCUUGCCAAGGGGUUCCAUCCUAAGAGUUACUGUUAGGGUCGAGGCAACUAGGUCAUUGUCAAUGAAUCAAGGAAGGCUUUCCGGAGGAGGUGGAAUUUUAAGAAAGCUUGGGAAAGAGUUUAGGUUGGCCGGAUUAGGUUGGGAAGGGAGCUCCAGGCUGAUGAUGGAAUUAAUGAUGGAGCCCCUCGUCUUUUUUUUUAAUCUUAUUUGUUAAGCACUUACUAUGUGCCAGAUGCUGUACUGAGCGCUGGAGUAGAUCUAAGCUAAUUAGGUCGGGCACAGAGCUUGUACCACGUGGGACUCACAGGCUUCAUCCCCAUUUUACAGAUGAGGUGGCUGAGGCACAGAGAAGUGAAGCGACUUGCUCCGUCAUGCCUGAAGGGGAGGCGAUAGGGUGAUCCACGUCGCCUUCACAGCCCGACCUCCUACUCCCUGACCGGCUCCUCUCACUCUCCCUCGGGUCCUCUAACAGUCUCUUUCCCCCACAUCAGGGGGAAUGCGCUUAGUCCCAUGAAGAUUUUACCACUCUUCUUGAGAGCCCCGUCCCUCGCCGGCCUGUCUGUCUCUGUCUCUUGUCUGUGUCAGUAGCCCACAGCCUCCUGAGGUGCAGCUGCAAGGAGUCCAGGAAGGACAAUGUUUUCCCUUCCCCUUUUCCUCCCUUAAGGGCCGCCAGCGUUGGUUAGCUAUCAGGGCCGCCAUCCCUUCAACUACCUAGUCUCUAGUUCCCCUCCUACUAGCCGAUACCUCCCCUGGGUCUCAAGGAGAAGCAGCGUGGCUUGGGAGUCAGAGGUCAUGAGUUCGAAUCCCUGCUCUGCCACUUGUCGGCUGUGUGACUGUGGGCAAGUCGCUUGACUUCCCUGUGCCUCAGUUCCCUCAUCUGUAAAAUGGGGAUUAACUGUGAGCCUCACAUGGGACAACCCGAUUACCCUGUAUCUACCCCAGUGCUUAGAACAGUGCUCGGCACAUAGUAAGCGCUUAACAAAUACCAACAUGAUUAUUAUUAUUAUUGUUAUUAUUAUUAAGGAGGGCAUCGUCUAAGGUGCAUAGAGUAGUCAACGGCAGCCACCCCAGCUCGCCCACUGCUUCCCGCUCCACGAUCCCUCUAGUUUCCAGCCAGGGUCAGUCUAUCAAAUCCACUUCAUUCAUUCAAUAGUAUUUAUCGAGCGCUUACUAUGUGCAGAGCACUGUGACUUUGGGCAAGUCACUUAACUUCUCGGUGCCUCAGUUCCCUCAUCUGUAAAAUGGGGGUUAAGACCGUGAGCCCCACGUGGGACAACCUGAUUCCCUUGUGUCUCCCCCAGGGCUUAGAACAGUGCUCGGCACAUAGUAAGCGCUUAACAAAUACCAACAUUAUUACUAAGCGCUUGGAAUGUACAGAUCGGUUACAGAUACUUCCCUCUGGGGGUUUAGUGCCGCGACCAACUCUAAGUCCAGCCGGGCGGCGGAAGCGGCCAAGUGCCCACUUCCGUGCAUCUGGUCAACCUGGCAUAACACCUCUCUCCCCGAGACCUUUUUUGCAAGUUUGAAAAGUCCCAGUGAAGACUUUGGGUUGAGAGGACAGGCGGGUUUUUUGGUUGUUUUUUUAAGAGCUGAUUAUUCUCAACUGAAAUCAAUCAGUCGGUCAUCAGUGGGUAUUCAUUGAGUGCUUACUGUGUGCAGAGCACUAUACUAACCCCUUGGGGGUGUGGGAGGUAAAGGGGAGCUAUUAGCAAACCUCACCCCACUUUCAGGGACAGCAGACUUUCCAAAUAAAAACACUGCAGUAUUGGUAUCCUGCCGACUGCCCCGGAUGUGAGCGCAUGAGGCCCGGUUUGCAAAGAUACCAACAAUAGAAGGCACACAAAGCUGCGUUCUGUAAGCUGAUUUAAUAGGGAAGCAUACCCACACUCCGGUCAGUGCAGGGAGUUGCUGACACAACUGCACGGUAGGAAACAGACCCAAGUCGUUAUCGAUCACGGUGACGUCUCAGUAGCAAAGCGCAAGCAGCGCAUUUUUCUAAGCUGUGUUGGUUUCGUGCACAACAGUGUGUGGGGGUGGGGAGGGGCUCCGUGCGUGUUAUUGCCUUGGGAAAGACCCUUUCAACCCGGUCUCGCCUAGACCAGGCAACCGGGCACCACAUCCUGGACAAGGCAGCCCACUGCUCCCAGAAACACAGCUGUCUAGAAUCCAAGAAGUGGCCAAGUCCCGAGGAGUGGAAUGUGACAGAUCCAAGGCCUGGACUCCAAUUCGUCUGGCCAAGGCACCGUUAACUCGAAGUGGGCACGGCAAGUACGCCGCUAUCCCAGUGUUAGCGGAAGUUGUUGAAAUCCUCGACUGCAGAUGCUGAACCUGAAGGGAGGAAGUGGUAUUUGCCCACCCCUCCGAGCUAGGGAGGAAACCCAGAUAGUGUUGAGCAACUAACCCAAAUAACUGGCUCCUGCCACUGAGGAACAGAUUUUUGUAGCAGGUUGAGACCUCUGUCAGCUGGUCUAAUUCUACGGUCUAAUUCAAUUAGACUGUAAGCCCGUCAAACGGCAGGGACUGUCUCUAUCUGUUGCCGACUUGUUCAUCCCAAGCGCUUAGUACAGUGCUCCGCACAUAGUAAGCGCUCAAUAAAUACUAUUGAAUGAAUGGUCCAGCACACUCCCCUACCCAGAGUGCAGAUUGCCCACUUGGCGUUGGUUCUGCUAGGAAGAAGGGGCACCUGGUUGGCUGUUGUUUCUAUGACCAUAGACCCCACUUUGACCUGGGUCUCCGUGCUGCCCGGGAUGAAGUUUUAAGUAGCCUUGGGAGGGUAGGCACGAUGUAUUUUGACGCAUGAUAUUUUAAGUGCUAAUCUAUUAGAUAAACAAGGUGAGCCCGGCCAUUCGGCAGUGUUUUAAUGAAUUCUUUCAUAGAAAAACUGGAGAAUGUUUU
rnacentral:lncRNA from 1 species